UACAGAGGUGCCGAGCGUUAGGCGGAAUCACUGGGCUUAAAGCGUGUGUAGGCGGAUCGUUAAGUGUCUUGUGAAAUCCCCCGGCUCAACCGGGGAACUGCUGGGCAUACUGGCGAUCUUGAGCGGCCUAGGGGCAGAUGGAACAAGUGGUGGAGCGGUGAAAUGCGUAGAUAUCACUUGGAACGCCAAAGGUGAAAACAGUCUGCUGGGGGCCUGCUGACGCUGAGACACGAAAGCCAGGGGAACGAACGGG
rnacentral:rRNA from 1 species